GAUUGAACGCUGGCGGCAGGCCUAACACAUGCAAGUCGAGCGGAUGAAGGGAGCUUGCUCCUGGAUUCAGCGGCGGACGGGUGAGUAAUGCCUAGGAAUCUGCCUGGUAGUGGGGGAUAACGUCCGGAAACGGGCGCUAAUACCGCAUACGUCCUGAGGGAGAAAGUGGGGGAUCUUCGGACCUCACGCUAUCAGAUGAGCCUAGGUCGGAUUAGCUAGUUGGUGGGGUAAAGGCCUACCAAGGCGACGAUCCGUAACUGGUCUGAGAGGAUGAUCAGUCACACUGGAACUGAGACACGGUCCAGACUCCUACGGGAGGCAGCAGUGGGGAAUAUUGGACAAUGGGCGAAAGCCUGAUCCAGCCAUGCCGCGUGUGUGAAGAAGGUCUUCGGAUUGUAAAGCACUUUAAGUUGGGAGGAAGGGCAGUAAGUUAAUACCUUGCUGUUUUGACGUUACCAACAGAAUAAGCACCGGCUAACUUCGUGCCAGCAGCCGCGGUAAUACGAAGGGUGCAAGCGUUAAUCGGAAUUACUGGGCGUAAAGCGCGCGUAGGUGGUUCAGCAAGUUGGAUGUGAAAUCCCCGGGCUCAACCUGGGAACUGCAUCCAAAACUACUGAGCUAGAGUACGGUAGAGGGUGGUGGAAUUUCCUGUGUAGCGGUGAAAUGCGUAGAUAUAGGAAGGAACACCAGUGGCGAAGGCGACCACCUGGACUGAUACUGACACUGAGGUGCGAAAGCGUGGAGAGCAAACAGGAUUAGAUACCCUGGUAGUCCACGCCGUAAACGAUGUCGACUAGCCGUUGGGAUCCUUGAGAUCUUAGUGGCGCAGCUAACGCGAUAAGUCGACCGCCUGGGGAGUACGGCCGCAAGGUUAAAACUCAAAUGAAUUGACGGGGGCCCGCACAAGCGGUGGAGCAUGUGGUUUAAUUCGAAGCAACGCGAAGAACCUUACCUGGCCUUGACAUGCUGAGAACUUUCCAGAGAUGGAUUGGUGCCUUCGGGAACUCAGACACAGGUGCUGCAUGGCUGUCGUCAGCUCGUGUCGUGAGAUGUUGGGUUAAGUCCCGUAACGAGCGCAACCCUUGUCCUUAGUUACCAGCACCUCGGGUGGGCACUCUAAGGAGACUGCCGGUGACAAACCGGAGGAAGGUGGGGAUGACGUCAAGUCAUCAUGGCCCUUACGGCCAGGGCUACACACGUGCUACAAUGGUCGGUACAAAGGGUUGCCAAGCCGCGAGGUGGAGCUAAUCCCAUAAAACCGAUCGUAGUCCGGAUCGCAGUCUGCAACUCGACUGCGUGAAGUCGGAAUCGCUAGUAAUCGUGAAUCAGAAUGUCACGGUGAAUACGUUCCCGGGCCUUGUACACACCGCCCGUCACACCAUGGGAGUGGGUUGCUCCAGAAGUAGCUAGUCUAACCGCAAGGGGGACGGUUACCACGGAGUGAUUCAUGACUGGGGUGAAGUCGUAACAAGG
rnacentral:rRNA from 1 species